rnacentral:rRNA from 1 species
GGGUUGUGAGGUUAAGCGACUAAGCGUACACGGUGGAUGCCCUGGCAGUCAGAGGCGAUGAAGGACGUGCUAAUCUGCGAUAAGCGUCGGUAAGGUGAUAUGAACCGUUAUAACCGGCGAUUUCCGAAUGGGGAAACCCAGUGUGAUUCGUCACACUAUCAUUAACUGAAUCCAUAGGUUAAUGAGGCGAACCGGGGGAACUGAAACAUCUAAGUACCCCGAGGAAAAGAAAUCAACCGAGAUUCCCCCAGUAGCGGCGAGCGAACGGGGAGCAGCCCAGAGCCUGAAUCAGUGUGUGUGUUAGUGGAAGCGUCUGGAAAGGCGCGCGAUACAGGGUGACAGCCCCGUACACAAAAAUGCACAUACUGUGAGCUCGAUGAGUAGGGCGGGACACGUGGUAUCCUGUCUGAAUAUGGGGGGACCAUCCUCCAAGGCUAAAUACUCCUGACUGACCGAUAGUGAACCAGUACCGUGAGGGAAAGGCGAAAAGAACCCCGGCGAGGGGAGUGAAAAAGAACCUGAAACCGUGUACGUACAAGCAGUGGGAGCACGCUUAGGCGUGUGACUGCGUACCUUUUGUAUAAUGGGUCAGCGACUUAUAUUCUGUAGCAAGGUUAACCGAAUAGGGGAGCCGAAGGGAAACCGAGUCUUAACUGGGCGUUAAGUUGCAGGGUAUAGACCCGAAACCCGGUGAUCUAGCCAUGGGCAGGUUGAAGGUUGGGUAACACUAACUGGAGGACCGAACCGACUAAUGUUGAAAAAUUAGCGGAUGACUUGUGGCUGGGGGUGAAAGGCCAAUCAAACCGGGAGAUAGCUGGUUCUCCCCGAAAGCUAUUUAGGUAGCGCCUCGUGAAUUCAUCUCCGGGGGUAGAGCACUGUUUCGGCAAGGGGGUCAUCCCGACUUACCAACCCGAUGCAAACUGCGAAUACCGGAGAAUGUUAUCACGGGAGACACACGGCGGGUGCUAACGUCCGUCGUGAAGAGGGAAACAACCCAGACCGCCAGCUAAGGUCCCAAAGUCAUGGUUAAGUGGGAAACGAUGUGGGAAGGCCCAGACAGCCAGGAUGUUGGCUUAGAAGCAGCCAUCAUUUAAAGAAAGCGUAAUAGCUCACUGGUCGAGUCGGCCUGCGCGGAAGAUGUAACGGGGCUAAACCAUGCACCGAAGCUGCGGCAGCGACGCUGAUGCGUUGUUGGGUAGGGGAGCGUUCUGUAAGCCUGUGAAGGUGUGCUGUGAGGCAUGCUGGAGGUAUCAGAAGUGCGAAUGCUGACAUAAGUAACGAUAAAGCGGGUGAAAAGCCCGCUCGCCGGAAGACCAAGGGUUCCUGUCCAACGUUAAUCGGGGCAGGGUGAGUCGACCCCUAAGGCGAGGCCGAAAGGCGUAGUCGAUGGGAAACAGGUUAAUAUUCCUGUACUUGGUGUUACUGCGAAGGGGGGACGGAGAAGGCUAUGUUGGCCGGGCGACGGUUGUCCCGGUUUAAGCGUGUAGGCUGGUUUUCCAGGCAAAUCCGGAAAAUCAAGGCUGAGGCGUGAUGACGAGGCACUACGGUGCUGAAGCAACAAAUGCCCUGCUUCCAGGAAAAGCCUCUAAGCAUCAGGUAACAUCAAAUCGUACCCCAAACCGACACAGGUGGUCAGGUAGAGAAUACCAAGGCGCUUGAGAGAACUCGGGUGAAGGAACUAGGCAAAAUGGUGCCGUAACUUCGGGAGAAGGCACGCUGAUAUGUAGGUGAAGCGACUUGCUCGUGGAGCUGAAAUCAGUCGAAGAUACCAGCUGGCUGCAACUGUUUAUUAAAAACACAGCACUGUGCAAACACGAAAGUGGACGUAUACGGUGUGACGCCUGCCCGGUGCCGGAAGGUUAAUUGAUGGGGUCAGCGCAAGCGAAGCUCUUGAUCGAAGCCCCGGUAAACGGCGGCCGUAACUAUAACGGUCCUAAGGUAGCGAAAUUCCUUGUCGGGUAAGUUCCGACCUGCACGAAUGGCGUAAUGAUGGCCAGGCUGUCUCCACCCGAGACUCAGUGAAAUUGAACUCGCUGUGAAGAUGCAGUGUACCCGCGGCAAGACGGAAAGACCCCGUGAACCUUUACUAUAGCUUGACACUGAACAUUGAGCCUUGAUGUGUAGGAUAGGUGGGAGGCUUUGAAGUGUGGACGCCAGUCUGCAUGGAGCCGGCCUUGAAAUACCACCCUUUAAUGUUUGAUGUUCUAACGUUGACCCGUGAUCCGGGUUGCGGACAGUGUCUGGUGGGUAGUUUGACUGGGGCGGUCUCCUCCUAAAGAGUAACGGAGGAGCACGAAGGUUGGCUAAUCCUGGUCGGACAUCAGGAGGUUAGUGCAAUGGCAUAAGCCAGCUUGACUGCGAGCGUGACGGCGCGAGCAGGUGCGAAAGCAGGUCAUAGUGAUCCGGUGGUUCUGAAUGGAAGGGCCAUCGCUCAACGGAUAAAAGGUACUCCGGGGAUAACAGGCUGAUACCGCCCAAGAGUUCAUAUCGACGGCGGUGUUUGGCACCUCGAUGUCGGCUCAUCACAUCCUGGGGCUGAAGUAGGUCCCAAGGGUAUGGCUGUUCGCCAUUUAAAGUGGUACGCGAGCUGGGUUUAGAACGUCGUGAGACAGUUCGGUCCCUAUCUGCCGUGGGCGCUGGAGAACUGAGGGGGGCUGCUCCUAGUACGAGAGGACCGGAGUGGACGCAUCACUGGUGUUCGGGUUGUCAUGCCAAUGGCACUGCCCGGUAGCUAAAUGCGGAAGAGAUAAGUGCUGAAAGCAUCUAAGCACGAAACUUGCCCCGAGAUGAGUUCUCCCUGACUCCUUGAGAGUCCUGAAGGAACGUUGAAGACGACGACGUUGAUAGGCCGGGUGUGUAAGCGCAGCGAUGCGUUGAGCUAACCGGUACUAAUGAACCGUGAGG